rnacentral:rRNA from 1 species
GACGAACGCUGGCGGCGUGCUUAACACAUGCAAGUCGAGCGAGGCCCCUCCUUCGGGAGGGUGUCCUAGCGGCGAGCGGGUGAGUAACACGUGGGCAACCUGCCCUCAGCUCUGGGAUAACUCCGGGAAACCGGGGCUAAUACCGGAUACGACCUCCACGGGCAUCUGCGGAGGUGGAAAGUUUUUCGGCUGAGGAUGGGCCCGCGGCCUAUCAGCUAGUUGGUGGGGUAGUGGCCCACCAAGGCGACGACGGGUAGCCGGCCUGAGAGGGCGACCGGCCACACUGGGACUGAGACACGGCCCAGACUCCUACGGGAGGCAGCAGUGGGGAAUAUUGCGCAAUGGGCGAAAGCCUGACGCAGCGACGCCGCGUGAGGGACGAAGGCCUUCGGGUUGUAAACCUCUUUCAGCAGGGACGAAGCGAAAGUGACGGUACCUGCAGAAGAAGCACCGGCCAACUACGUG